rnacentral:rRNA from 1 species
GACGAACGCUGGCGGCGUGCCUAAUACAUGCAAGUUGAGCGCUGAAGGUUGGUUCUUGUACCAACUGGAUGAGCAGCGAACGGGUGAGUAACGCGUGGGGAAUCUGCCUUUGAGCGGGGGACAACAUUUGGAAACGAAUGCUAAUACCGCAUAAAAUCUUUAAACUUAAGUUUUAAGUUUGAAAGAUGCCACUGCAUCACUCACACAUGAUCCCGCGUGGUAUUAGCUAGUUGGUGAGGUAAAGGCUCACCAAGGCGAUGAUACAUAGCCGACCUGAGAGGGUGAUCAGCCAGAUUGGGACUGAGACACGGCCCAAACGCCUACGGGAGGCAGCAGUAGGGAAUCUUCGGCAAGGGACGAAAGACAGACCGAGAAACGCCGCGUGAGUGAAGAGGGAUGUCGGAUCGUAAAACUCUGUUGGUAGAGAAGAACGUGGGUGAGAGUGGAAAGCUCAGCAAGUGACGGUAACUACCCAGAAAGGGACGGCUAACUACGUG